rnacentral:rRNA from 1 species
GACAGAGGGGGCAAGCGUUGCUCGGAAUUACUGGGCGUAAAGCGCACGUAGGCGGCGAUUUAAGUCAGGGGUGAAAGCCCAGUGCUCAACACUGGAACUGCCCUUGAGACUGGAUUGCUUGAAUCACGGAGAGGUGGGUGGAAUUCCGAGUGUAGAGGUGAAAUUCGUAGAUAUUCGGAAGAACACCAGUGGCGAAGGCGGCCCACUGGACGUGUAUUGACGCUGAGGUGCGAAAGCGUGGGGAGCAAACAGG